rnacentral:rRNA from 1 species
AUGGUUGGAUAUCCAUUGCGCUUGCAGAAAAAUGGUGCCCUUCCAAGGUUGGUGUCUCUUGUCCCGUCCGCUAUCUCAGGAUCCCAGCAAAGAAGGAAGCUAAUAAUGAUGGACAUACCUAGCAUUUUCGGCCCCGGAGAUAGGUCCAUCACUCUCUACGAGGGCAUAAAUCAUCAUCCAGAUCCAGAUUCCAUUUUCAGGAAUAAGAUCGUCGCACAGCUGGGAUGUGGCAAUGGUUGGAUAUCCAUUGCGCUUGCAGAAAAAUGGUGCCCUUCCAAGUUAAUUCAAGGAGGACCCUACAUCUAA